rnacentral:rRNA from 1 species
UUACACAUGCAAGUCGAACGGCAGCACGGACUUCGGUCUGGCGGCGAGUGGCGAACGGGUGAGUAAUAUAUCGGAACGUAUCCAAUAAUGGGGGAUAACUAAUCGAAAGGUUGGCUAAUACCGCAUACGCCCUACGGGGGAAAGCUAGGGACCUUCGGGCCUGGCGUUAAUGGAGCGGCCGAUAUCUGAUUAGCUAGUUGGUGGGGUAAAGGCCCACCAAGGCGACGAUCAGUAGCUGGUCUGAGAGGACGACCAGCCACACUGGAACUGAGACACGGUCCAGACUCCUACGGGAGGCAGCAGUGGGGAAUUUUGGACAAUGGGCGCAAGCCUGAUCCAGCCAUUCCGCGUGAGUGAAGAAGGCCUUCGGGUUGUAAAGCUCUUUCGCAAGGGAAGAAAGAUUACUCUCUAACAUAGAGUGAUUAUGACGGUACCUUGAUAAGAAGCACCGGCUAACUACGUGCCAGCAGCCGCGGUAAUACGUAGGGUGCGAGCGUUAAUCGGAAUUACUGGGCGUAAAGCGUGCGCAGGCGGUUUUGUAAGUCAGAUGUGAAAUCCCCGAGCUCAACUUGGGAACUGCGUUUGAAACUACAAGACUAGAAUAUGUCAGAGGGGGGUAGAAUUCCACGUGUAGCAGUGAAAUGCGUAGAGAUGUGGAGGAAUACCAAUGGCGAAGGCAGCCCCCUGGGAUAAUAUUGACGCUCAUGCACGAAAGCGUGGGGAGCAAACAGGAUUAGAUACCCUGGUAGUCCACGCCCUAAACGAUGUCUACUAGUUGUUGGUGGAGUAAAAUCCAUGAGUAACGCAGCUAACGCGUGAAGUAGACCGCCUGGGGAGUACGAUCGCAAGAUUAAAACUCAAUGAAUUGACGGGGGUCGCAA